rnacentral:misc_RNA from 1 species
CAAAUCCAACAAAGUCUGGCUU